CUACGGGUGGCAGCAGUCGAGAAUAAUUCACAAUGGGGGCAACCCUGAUGGUGCAACGCCGCGUGGAGGAUGAAGGUCUUCGGAUUGUAAACUCCUGUCAUCCGGGAGUAAGACCUGGCGAUGAAUAGUCGACAGGGUUGAUAGUACCGGAAGAGGAAGGGACGGCUAACUUCGUGCCAGCAGCCGCGGUAAUACGAAGGUCCCAAGCGUUGUUCGGAAUCACUGGGCGUAAAGGGAGCGUAGGCGGCGCGGUAAGUCAGAUGUGAAAUCCCGGGGCUCAACCCCGGAACUGCAUCCGAUACUGGCGUGCUAGAGUUUUGGAGAGGUAGUCGGAAUUCACGGUGUAGCAGUGAAAUGCGUGGAUUUCGUGAGGAACACUCGUGGCGAAAGCGGACUACUGGACAACAACUGACGCUGAGGCUCGAAGGCCAGGGGAGCGAAAGGGAUUAGAUACCCGUGUAGUC
rnacentral:rRNA from 1 species